rnacentral:lncRNA from 1 species
GUCACAUUGAGGGGCCGAGGUGACCCAGGCUGGUGGCACCUCCUAUUCUGGAGUCAGGAUCUGCCUUGGAGAGGACCUAAUUUAGAAGCAACCCUGUCCCCAAGACAGGCAUUUGGGGCCAUCUUGAGAAGCACAACCAGAGGGGACAGUCAGGCCAGGGAGGGAAGGGACAGUGAAGGAGUGUCUCAGAGCAGGCAGGGGAGGCUCCCCAGGAGGACAUGGCGGAGAGAUGGAGAAGGCUUUGGGAGGCAGCUCCCUCCUGGGGAGGGACUCUGGAGGACCCUCUGCUGGGCGUCAAAUCUGUUUGUCACUUUUUGAGGUAGCUGUGUAUUUGCUUUGUGUGGUUUUCCGAGUCCCAUCUUUAUCUUACAGUAAAAGCUCAAAGAAACACAAGGAUAAGAAAUGAAAUCUUGGUGGAGCCAGAGAAAGGACCAGAAGAGACACAUCCCUCCCUGGCGGGCCACUGGAGUGUUCAUACCCAACUGUCCUCUCUAGGAAGGGCUGGCAGUCGGCUCGGCGAAAGCACUUGCUUGGUCGUUGACCCUGUUCAUUAGGAGUUGAAAUGAUUCUCUUCGACACGGACUCCCCCUGGCUUCCUGGGUUAAUUGCUUUGGGCUUGUAUUGGUGAAAAGAUGAGUGGACCUGGUAUUUUAUGUUUCUCUCUUCACCAAAGGUGUGUCACUCAGGGCCUCCAGGUGUGCGCUGACAUGAAGCUGCUUGGAAGCCACAUGGCCCUGGACGGGUGUGAUGCUUUCUGAGCUGAAGGAGUCCUUCCCAGUGGCCUCACACAGGGACGGGGGCAUUAUUCAGGCUGCCUAGCACCUCAGCCGGUGCUUACCCCCCCUGUGUGACGCUGCAGGUUCGACCCCCAGCACUGGCAAAAAAUAAAAAAAGCUAACAAGUGGCCAGAGUGGGGGAGGGAGAAGAACACCCAUAACACUGACGAAAUGACGAGUAAAGACAGCUCUCUCUGGGGCUGGGAUUGUGGCUCAGCGGUAGAGCGCUCGCCUAGCUCGGGCGGGACUCGGGUUCGAUUCUCAGCACCACAUGAAAAUAAAGGCAUUGUGUUAAAAACAACAACAACACAGCUCUCAAAGUACCAGGACUGUUG